rnacentral:lncRNA from 1 species
UUAUUGUCUAUUGCCAUGGCUAUUCAGUUUAGGGGUGGAGAUGCAAAAUGCAAUUAUUGUUCAUUAAAGGUAGUUACUAUUCAUUGGAGGCGAUUUAAUAAGCAAUUGCCCUGGGGGGCCUUCCAACACUGGAAGUGCUCUUUGAAGAUUGAGCUCAUUUUCUAAUAUUGUUGCAUGCUUAUAAAUUUUGUGCAGAAAUUAAGUAUUUUGAAGAACACGUUCAAUGUUCUAGGACCAAUGAAAUGUGGGAGUACUGCUAAUGGUAUACAAUUUAAACUCUCAUAUGAGAGCACUUCCACCGUGUGCUCCAGCGUGAGGGACAGGAGCAGGAACAGGGCCAAAGAGUCUGAG